UCCCGCCGCCGCCGCCGCCAUGGAGGAGCAUAAGGAGAACCGCCCGCAGGCUGCCUUCAACGAGGUGCCCCCGCCGCCCGCCCCCACCGCCUGCCUACCGGGAAAGCAGCAUUGCAGAAGCAAUGAUCAGGAAGCUAAUGGGAAAAACUUAACUUCCAGUUCGAGUGACUUCAGUGAUCCAGUUUACAAAGAAAUUGCUAUCACCAAUGGUUAUAUCAAUAGAAUGACCAGAGAUGAGCUCAGAAGUAAACUUGCAGAGUUCAAGCUUGAAACCAAAGGAGUGAAAGACGUAUUAAAAAAGAGACUGAAAAACUAUUAUAAGAAACAGAAGCUGAUGCAGAAGGAACCUACUAAUGGAGACAGCUACUACGACUAUAUCUGUGUUGUUGAUUUUGAAGCAACAUGUGAAGAAGGAAAUCCACCUGAAUUUGUGCAUGAAAUAAUUGAGUUUCCUGUUGUCUUAUUAAACACACGUACCUUGGAAAUAGAGGACACCUUUCAGCAAUACGUGAAGCCAGAGAUUAAUCCCAAGCUUUCAGCAUUCUGCAUUAGUCUGACAGGAAUCACUCAGGAUAUUGUUGAUAAAGCUGAUACCUUUCCUCAAGUUCUGCAGAACGUCAUAGAAUGGAUGAGACAGCGAGAACUGGGAACAAAGUAUAGCUAUUCCAUGCUGACAGACGGAUCUUGGGAUAUGAGUAAAUUUUUGACUAUCCAGUGCCGUAUUAGCCGUAUCAAAUAUCCUUCUUUUGCGAAAAGGUGGAUCAAUAUUCGCAAGUCGUAUGGGAACUUCUAUAAGGUUUCUUGUGCAAAAUACUCACCCUGGACUGCAGAGAUGCUGAGGGAGAUACUGGCCGGCCCCAGAGCUGUAAAAAUUUGGUGAUCCAGCUGCAUGAAGUAAGAAGCAAGUACACGCAAGGUGGCUUAAGGCCCAUUUCUGCUCACCGAUAAAAGCCCUGUUUGCCAUGACCAGGGCAGGGUGUUUCACAACCGCUGCCUGCUAUUUGCCCCCAAAGCAAAGGUCGCUCUACCUUAGGAGUGCAUUAUCACCGCAUGGCUGGAAGGCACGGUGCAAUAUGUCAAAGGCAGUGCACCACACUCCAGCUUUAACUGCCUUCUCCAUGUCCCUUUCAAAGUGGAGGAGAGACAGCUGAUGGGGAUCUCACAAUGUCUUCUACUACCUGGACAGUGUAACGGAGAAGAUCUCAGAGAUGCACAGCAGAAGCAUGAGAGUCAGUGGGCAUCUCUGCAACUCAAGAACUUCUGAUGGUGCAGGAGGAAACAACUCUGUCCAGGAGAGUGAGAUGGCCCCAGUACAGGGCCCAGAAAGGGCCCUGUAGUGGCAUGGUGGCAUCUCUGUCUUUGGGGAACAUCAACCAUUGCCUGGACAAGGCUCUGAGCAACCUGACAUGGCAGUGAGGGUGGUCCUGCUUGGAGCAAGGAGGGGACAAAGAUCUCUGGAACUCUCUUCCCACCUAAAUCUCUCCAUGAUUGUAUGAUUACAUAUCUCCAUUUGGAGCUGUUGCCCUUCUCAAAACACUGAGGCUGCUGAUCCUCACCAUGUGAACACAGCAAUUCACAGGCGCAUCCCAGGGAAGUGGGGCUUUCACAGGAGCAGCAAAAGAUGCAUUGCUUAAAACUGUGAGGAUGUGAUACAACGAGCGAAUACGGAAUGGUGAGAGGCAGAAUCUUUUAGGUGGCCAAAACGACCGUUUUCUGCGUGCAGAGGAAAAGCAAGCAACGGGCUCCAUCUAUGCUCCGCCUGUUCGUCACCUCUUAGCGACGUGACGUGGAGACUCGGGCAGGACUACGCUUUUGUGGCCUGGGAGCACCUGGAUGCUGCUCUAUCCUGCCACCCUGGCCACUGGGACUCCCUUCCCGGGCACCCCUGCCCCAUGGGUCCUCCCUGCCCAGGCUGCUGUCCCUCUGCCCCAGAGGAGUGCCACCGCCCAGGGACACGCGUGUGCCACCAGGAUGCUCUCCUGGGGACAUCCGCCCCGUGCCCCACGGCCUUGGCACCGCCCCCCGCCACCAUGGGUGGCCCCCCGCCGCUCCUCCUCCUCCUCUUCCUCUUCCUCCGGACCGGGACCGCUGCCGCCGCCGGGGCUGGGACCCGCCAUGCCCGUGAGCUGGGGGGGGGGAUGGCUGGGGGGGUGGGCGGUCACUUCCCUUUAAGGGGUCCCUCCUUUCCCCCCCCCCCCGAAGGGAUGUAGGGGGCCCUGCUGCUUGGGUGGGGGUCCCAUCCUCCUCCCCCCUGCCAAAGGUCUGUAAGGGAUCGCUGCCUGCCAGGGAGUCCCUGUCCCUCCCUCUCUAGUGGGGUGUGGGGGUCCUUGGUCCAUGGGGGGGCUCUUGGCCCAUGCGUGGGUCCCUGCCCACCCCAGGGAUGGGGGGGCUCUUGGCCCAUGAGGCAGUCCCUGCCCAUCCCAAGGAUGUGGGGGUCCUUGGCCCAUGCGUGGGUCCCUGCCUGCCCCAGGGAUGUGGGGGUCCUUGGCCAUAGAGGGGUCCCUGCCUGCCCUAGGGAUGUGGGGGUCCUUGGCCCAUGGGGGGGUUCUUGCACACCCCAGGGAUGUGGGGGUCCUUGACCCAUGAGGGGUGUCCCUGCCUGCCCCAGGGAUGUGGGGGUCCUUGGCCAUGGGGGGGUCCCUGCCCGCCCCAGGGAUGUGGGGGUCCUUGGCCGUAGAGGGGUCCCUGCCCACCCCAAGGAUGUGGGGGUCCUUGGCCCAUGGGGGGGUUCUUGCACACCCCAGGGAUGUGGGGGUCCUGGCCCAUGGGGGGAGUCCUUGGCUAUGGGGGGUGUCCGUGCCCACCCCAAGGAUGUGGGGGUCCCUGUCCCUCCUGUAGGAUGCA